AUAUCCUGGGUGGAGGAAUUGAGUAAUCCUGGGAGCUCCUCCGGGCCAAAAUGUGCAUAGAUAAGAAAAUUUGAAUAACGACUAGAAAUUGUUCUAGCAUAUGUAGGAAUAGUAAGGUCGAAUAGUCUUUUGUUCACUGCCAAGGUAAUUAGAAUGUUUUGUAGGUACUUAAAAUUAGCCCAUAGGAAUUUAUUGCGCCCUUAUUAAGGUAGUUUUCCUGCUUAUAGGACUAGGAUCUAGCAGGAUCACUAGGGUUGUAAAAAUUUAUCUCAAUUACACAAUUCAGGAGUCUGACCUGAUCCAGUGAAGAUGCCAUUGCAACACUUGAAAUGGGGAGACCUGCACCAUCUGCAUAGUGGUUGACGGUCCUGUUUGAGAGCUUUGCUUCUCCAUGAAAGCAUUUCGUUAUAAGUGCAAAAGAUCACAGGCAGGACCCGGCUUAGAGAACAAUAUGGAGACCUCUGGGUUGCCCCAGCAUCACGGGAGAGCUGCCCAGACCAGUUCUUCCAGCUGAAAUCUACUGACUGUUGAAGUCCGGAGGUGUUUGUGCCCUGCGUCAUCCCAGCAGGACCAUUUCACCCACGCCCUGCACUGUUUGCUUUUUCUGGGAAACAGUCAAACUCAUCUUGCAAGAUAGCCAGCCUGGGAUUAUGCCUAAGAGUAUGUGUUCUGAGCGCGGUUUAGUAUAAGGAGUUGCAAUCUCCCACUCCUCACUAAGAAAUCUGGGAUAUUCAUAUAAGGUUCAAGAAACUCGAAACUACAGCUUGUCUGUCAAGGCAAAGAGCAUAAUAGGGCAUUCCACCCUAUAGUAGUGUAAUUUUUCUUCCAGAUUUUUCAACAACAGAGUGCUGUCUAGCAGAUUUGUAUGACCUAGAUCCAAAGAUUGAUGACAGUAGCUUGUUGAACUUAAAAACACUUUUGAAAUUUAGUGAUACAUAUGCACAAAGCUUCUACACAGAGGAUUCUGUUCACUUUAGUCGUCUUAUUCCCCAUAUAGUUCCUUUUUUGGCAGACCUCAUACAGGUUGCAAUUUCUCCACAUGUCUAAAUUCCACAUGUUUUGUCCUGUACAGGUCUAUGAGAUUCUUGAAUUUUACUGGCGAAUAAAUUAAACCUUUUUAAGAAGUAGGUGAGAGUGUACCAUGAAGAAAGUCAAACUCUAAUCCUUCCAGGAUCCAUUUCCAAACCUUUGUUGAGUAACCAAACACAACACAGUGGAGUGAGUCAGGCAUAUUCAGAAUGUAUGAAGAGUCAAACCUAGCUUAAAAGUAAUGAAGGGUAAAAUAAUUUGUUUACCAUUGGACUAAAAAGUACAUAAUUAGUUUAAAAGCAGGAAGGAAUUGCAACCUGAGGGCAAGCUGUUCCAGUUAAUUAUGGAACCGGGUGCAGAGCAUAAUGAGAGAAAAGAUAUUGUGUAGAAAACUAGCAAUUGCCAGUUGAAUAGUGAAAACCACAUGGGGGAAAAAAAGUAAAUACCGUAUCACAUGUCCCUUUAACCACUGUAAAAAUACUUGCUGCUUUUUCGAAUCUUGGGGUGGACUUCUUUCAAGUUAAACAGGAUGUCCAUUGACGCCUUCUGGAGCUGCUAGCUACCAUCCAAGUCAGACCCUCUCUCAGAAAAACUGACUCUUCAGGCCGUGUAUAACCAGUAACAUAAACACAUCUGCUCCUGACUGAGUAGCCAGGCCCUCUAAGGACAGCUCUAACUAUUUGUGAUGGAUUAUUCGUUUUACAAAGCAUUACAUUUAAGUGCUUUAAAGUAUAUUCGAAAAUUCCACUGGAAGCAAAUUGCCUUGUAGAGUUGUCUUGCACCAGCUGUAUAUAAGAUUAAUUGUUAGGCAGCACCAAACCACACUGUGUGGGAAUCAUAUUACAGUCCUUGUAGUGAUUGAUGCACAGAACUAUGAAAGGUUAGGUGCACUUCCUGACCCCUUUGUUUCUUGGAAAGGAGAAACAAGAUCUAAUAAAUUAUGCAAUUUUAAGCAGAGGAGUAACAUUUCUUGGUAGCAGAAAUACAAUAUAUGUAUGGGGUUUACUAGAUAGGCCGCACACCACACUGUCAGAGCAGGAAGUCUGUUUAUUCUAAAGUGACAGUCUUAGCAAGCACAGGUCUUUUGAGCUGUCUUUCAGGUCUGAAUAGUGAAUGUAAGCAUUAUUGUUUUUCUCCUAUGUGAUUAUUCAUAUGUAUACAGUGAAUGUAAGCAUUAUUCUUAUUUCUCGUACGUGAUUCUUCACAUGUAUACUCUGACUCCCUGACAAAAUAAUGGUCCAUGCAUAUUGACAGAUGCAUUCUUUAGUGUACAAUCAUAUCCGUUUUCCUGCCAAGAGUCAAAGUUUGACUUGAAAGAGUGGGCUAGAUUCCCCUGCUGCUUGUGAGAGCUCCCAAAUGGGGAGGCCAUCCUUGGUCCCAGAUUCUUUGUGGAGAUACAGGACCAGCCAGCUCCCUGCCCACACACUCUGAUGACACUGAAAUCCCACCUUCUGUUUUGCUGUGGUAUCUAUACUACUUGGAUUAACUGUAAUCUUCCUUUUUUCACCACUUACAUUAAAUCACUCCUAUCUUGUUUAUAUCUAGCCUUCUUAAGUAAGGAUUUCCUCUCUUUGUCAAUAUAAGGAUCCCAAAGCUCAACUAUGGCCAGUAGUACUAAUUACUAUCAUACUGAUAAUGAAUACACACAGAAUAAUUAACCCACUGCUGCCUAUAAAAUUAUAUUCUUGUUAAGAGUCUGGGAUUCCAUUUAGAGACAUUGAUUAUCUGAUUAUCUUCCUUUGUCAUAUUCAGGCUUUUAGUCCUCACCUUUUUGCCACAUGAAAUAUCAAAGAUAUGUAUUCUAUUUAAUCUCUUCUAUGUUUUUACUUUGGUUGCUCCAUAUAGUCAUGUUUCUGCUUUAAUUUACAGCUUUAUAUAUUGUAAAUUCCUCAUAAAUUCAGUUGGCUUUCCUAAUCCUUUAAUUUCACCAUUUCUUUAAUCUAUUUUUCUUCCUUUCAACUUCCUAGACCCUACCCUGGUGCUUUCUAAGCUUCAAGCUGCACAAUUUCUGUUCACCAUCAGUCUCCUUCAAGCCUCUCUGGAGACAGUUUAACCAGAAAACUUUCCUGCUCCUGCUUUUUGUACUGAUUAUUGUUGUUUGAACACAAUUCCCUCAAAGCUUUUAUUUACAUUGUUCAUGUAAUAAGUUACACAGUGAAAAUUAACAUCAUCAGAGGAAAUACUUUUUUUUGAUGACUGAGAAGAACUCUUUGUACAUUACCUGCUUAAAAUAGUAAACAGUGAAAAAUUGAAGUAUAAAUAUUUUUAAUGAGAAGGCAUCUGUUCCCUGCCUUUUUUAUGAAUCAACCAUCUCACAAGAUUAAUAAGAAUGAAACUCAGCUAGGGCUUCUCUUUUUCACUAGAAAUCACCGUUUUUCAAAAACUACAUACAUUCAGUUAGAUUUUGUUGAAAUUGAGCAGUAAGAUCAAAAGAUAAAGAGGGGGAAAGAGUUUGUUGCCAGUGAGUCAGAAGGCCAGGCAGGCAGUGUGGUUUGACCUACCAAGUAAAUAGGAGAGAAGAAGGGAUAAAGACCAGGAACUGGUUCCUGCCUUUGGGUGGGCAGUGCCCUGGAGGUGCCCUGUGGGCUGGGAGAUCCUUUUGGAUGUUGUAGGGUGUUGUUGCACUGUGGUCAGUGCAUUGACUAAGACACCCACAUUAAUGGCAGCCCAUGAGAGUGGAGGCAGUGAUCCCACAUGCUUAAGUGCACUUUCUCCUGAAGCUCUUGACAGCACCUAAGUUCUGAACCAAGAGAAAACACUUAAAUUCAAUUUUGAGGCAUUCCAGGAAGUAGAAUAGGCUGUACAGCUACAGAAGCCCAGACAUGGGGAGAAUGAUUUCCCAUCCUGGCUACACUUUUUAGACUCUAAUGUAUCUCUGUUGUUCCCAGGAGGAUAGGUUUCCAUUGACCUGUACAUUCAGAUUUGUUAACUGUUUGUCUUUGUACCAGAGAGAAUUGUAUAUGAACUUCCACCACCAUGAGUUAACACCCUCAUCUCCAUGUGCAGACGUAGAUGGAAGAAUCUGCACUGCUAGCAGGUCUGUUGGACACUUGAUGGCAGUAUUUGCUCUGGGUUUUUCAUCCGGUAACUCCAUUAACUCUGUUUAAUGCAAUCUCCGGAGAGCUGUAGGCAUUUUGGGAAGGGGGCACAGGACAGAAGGGAGUCACAGAAGAGGAGUGGAAGGACAAUAAAUAUGAUUUAGUCUCUUCAGUCCUAAUGCCACAGCUGUCAAAAACUAUUUUCCUUUAACUAUUUCAUUUUCCUAGUUAUUCUUGACUUUCUGCCUUGGGAGCUGACCUGUCUGUUCGAUCUCAGGACAAAAGUUACAUAAACAGAUUUGAAAUCUAUCACAGUGCAGCUAAUAAUGUUGAUCUGGUUUCUAUUGAUUAAAAAUAAAGAUAGGAUUGUUAUGACAGCAUUAGCCUCCAAUAAUUAUUGUCUUCAAGGGACUACAAUUCUUCUGCAGUGGCUGAAGUACUUGUCAACUUGCAGGUGCUAGGGAAUAUGUCUAAACAGGUGAGUAGGUGAGAGCAGUCCCCAGAUGUAAUGAGCAGCCUCCUACACAGCUUCCUGCUGAUACUUUGGGAAGUGAUUAUCUGAGAGUGGCUAGCCUGUAUAGAUGACCAAACCAAUCCCUUCUAAUGCUGCCCAGAAAUGGCAGAGGUAGAAAGGUGUCAAGAAACCAUCUACGGGGAGUUGGCAAGUGCAUCCUGGCUCAGUACAAGAGCUACGGUGAGCAGGAAUGCAGAAACCGCCUUAGCACAUAUAUACCAAUACCUAAUUUCAACCCCUUCUGUGCUCUGAAACUUGCAUCAAACCUACCUUAUUAUCAAAUAAAAUUUGUGUAAAUGCUUGCGUUUCA